rnacentral:rRNA from 1 species
AAUAUUGGACAAUGGGGGCAACCCUGAUCCAGCCAUGCCGCGUGUGUGAAGAAGGUCUUCGGAUUGUAAAGCUCUGUUGUCAGGGAAGAACAAGUACCGUUCGAUAAGGGCGGUACCUUGACGGUACAUGUCGAGAAAGCCACGGCUAACGACGUGCCAGCAGCCGCGGUAAUACGUAGGUGGCAAGCGUUGUCCGGAAUCAUUGGGCGUAAAGCGCGCGCAGGCGGUCCUUUAAGUCUGAUGUGAAAUCUUGCGGCUUAACCGCAAGCGGUCAUUGGAAACUGGAGGACUUGAGUGCAGAAGAGGAAAGCGGAAUUCCAUGUGUAGCGGUGAAAUGCGUAGAGAUAUGGAGGAACACCAGUGGCGAAGGCGGCUUUCUGGUCUGCAACUGACGCUGAGGCGCGAAAGCGUGGGGAGCAAACA